GCCUCCUAUCGUUCUCUUCGUCCUAGGGAUUUUUCAUGCCUCUCUGGCUACUCAUCAUCUCCGACAACUCGCCCUUUGCGGCAGCUCAUCCUCUCCGACAACUCAUCCCUUGCUUUAUAGGGUUUUACGGAGUCUCUAUUUCUAGCUCAGACUUUGAUUGUUAUGAGGCGCUUCGGAAAUAGAAGACUCGUGUGGAGAAGUUCGUGGCUCCUGUUCUGCAUUCGAGAUUGUGUUCCAGAGAUUUCAUCCAGGCUACAUCUCUAGCUUGAAGCUAGUUUGCUCGAUCAUAUCCGAGGGUGAGCUUCUACCCAUGCCAUGCCACCUGAAGAUCUCUCUUUCUAGAUGUCUAAUUUCAUUCUAGCCAUUAUUUAUUAUUACAUUUGAGAUAUACUUCAUUUUUUAGACAUUGUUGGUUAGAGUCCUUGUAUGAUGACUUUCAGAUCUUGGGGGUAUAAUAGUUAAGA